ensembl:lncRNA
AUUAUUAUUUAGGGAACAUAUGCAGGAGUCAGUAGGCUAAUUAGCAGACGUCUGAGCACUCAGGUGGAGUGGAGCAGUCAGAUGGCUGGGCAGAACGACUGAAACUUUAGCGCUAAACAACCAUGGCUACAAAUACCUGCAUCUAAUUAAAUAUUAAUAUUUAAGAAUAAAACAACGACGACAACAACAAUAACACUACAUUACUGAUUUUAAAAAAUCAUUAUUAUUAUUAUUAUUAUUAUUAGUAGUAGUAGUAGUAGUAGUAGUAGUAGUGGUAAUAGCAGUGUAGUAAUAGUAGUAGUGGUGGUAGUAGUAGCAGUAAUAGUACUACAGUAGUGGUGGUGGUAGUAGUAGUAGUGGUGGUGGUAGUAGUAGUAGUGGUAAUAGUAGUGUAGUAAUAGUAGUAGUGGUGGUGGUAGUAGUAGUAGUGGUAAUAGUAGUUUAGUAAUAGUAGUAGUGGUAGUAGUAGUAGUGGUAAUAGUAGUGUAGUAAUAGUAGUAGUGGUGGUAGUAGUAGUAGUGGUAGUAGUGUACUACUAGUAGUAGUGGUGGUUUAGUAAUAGUAGUAGUGGUGGUAUAGUAGUAGCAGUAGUAAUAGUAGUAGUAACCCCAUUAUUUUCCAUUAUUUUCAUAUUAUUCCACAAUAAACUAUAUGUACACCUUCGUUUUUUUUCCUCCCCCUCUCUUCAUCCGUUUAUUCAUCUCCCCUCUCCGCUAGUCAAGUAACUAUCCAGCAACUAUUAUAUUUAUCCCAUACUUUUCACACAAUAUCAUCAGUACAUGUUUUAAUAUUAUUCUAACUAGUAACCCUGUUCUUCAAAUACCCUAUUAUUAAUAAACAUUAUUAACCCCUUUUUCACUAUGGGUUAUGUGGCCAUGGUUGAUUAUUCAAUAAUGUGUGAUAAAGUGUACAGUAUUAUUACUUAAAGACUGUGAUUUAUUUAGAGACUACUGUGAAACUAACAGAGAAGGUGUGUAUUUAUAGACCGACACAUGCUUCCUGUUUAAAGGGUUAAUAUUCUGUUAAAAC